UAUUAUUACUUUGGCAGAAUAGUGUGAUAAAUUUAGAAUUUAUUUAUGUAAGUUAUUACAAGUAAUA
rnacentral:tRNA from 1 species